CUAAAUUGCCAGGGUGGGCCAAAACUUGUGAUCCUCCUCUUAGCUUCCUUUUGUGCUGGUAUUAUAGGCAUAUGCCACCAUCCCUGACAGAGAUGAUUAUUUUUGAAGAAAAACUAGUUCUCUUGUAUGGUAUGAAAUUGAGAUGGUGACUGCAUUGCAGUUAAGAAAUGUUUUUGCAUAUAGUAGUGAAAAAUCAUCACUAGGCCACUUUUUAGUCUGAGUUGUUAUUUUUGGUACUUGGGGUUGAAUCAAGGGCCAGCACAUACUAGGCAUGUGCUUCUAUCGUGGAGCUACAACCCCAGCCCUUUUAAUUUUUUAUAUUUUGAAAAAAAUGUUGGUAAAUUGCUCAAACUGGCCUUGAAUUUGCUGUCCUCCUGUCGCAGUCUCCUGAGUACCUGAGAUGAUAGGCAUGUGCCACUCUGCCUGGCAGACUAAGAUUCCCAAAUAUACAGGAAGUAAUUAGAAGAAUCCUUCAGUAGGUGGAUCAUCAGUCAAUUUCAAAAGUGAUACAAGACUUCCAUUUCAAUAAGGGCAAUGAAAUUAUAUAUAUAUUUUUAUUUUUACUUCUUUUGUGGUACUGGGGAUUGGACACAUGGCCUUUGCACCGAGCAGGUAAGUAUCCAGUCCUUUCUAUUUUUUGUUUUGAGACAGCCUCGCUAAAUUGUUAAGUUGCCUGGGUUUAGUUUGAACUUUGAAUCCUCCUGCCUCAGAUUUCCACAGUGCUGAUAUUACAAGGGUGCCCACCAUGCUUGGCCUACUUUUAUUUUUUUGACAAGGUUAUAUGUCUACACAAUAAAGCACUUAAAGGGCUGUAUAGUGAAAAGUAAAUUUUCUUACACUAUUGACACUUGGUCCUAUUGAUUUCUUUCCCAGAGAUCAUCACAGCUACCAGUUUCUUAUCUGCUACACCUGUGUGUGCAUAAACACAUGAAUCUGUAUUUGCUUCUUUUUUUUUUUUUUGUAUUUGCUUCUUCCCGUCAUCUCUGUUUUCCCUUUUUACACAAAGGGGAAUGUGCUGUACACUCUGUUCUAUGCUUUGCUUUUUGAUUUAAUGUUUCUUGGGUAUAGGAUGAUACCAAUUUUAGCAGUUUUUUGUUUAGCAGAUUUAUUAGAGUAUAAUUUAUG
rnacentral:lncRNA from 1 species